UUAUGGCCAUAUCACGUUGGAACAUCGGUUCGAACCCGAUCACCGAAGUUUAGUAACGUCGAGCCUGGUCAGUACUUAGAUGGGUGACCGCUUGGAAAUACCAGGUACUGAAA